rnacentral:rRNA from 1 species
GUUGAGCGCUGAGGUUGGUACUUGUACCGACUGGAUGAGCAGCGAACGGGUGAGUAACGCGUGGGGAAUCUGCCUUUGAGCGGGGGACAACAUUUGGAAACGAAUGCUAAUACCGCAUAAAAACUUUAAACACAAGUUUUAAGUUUGAAAGAUGCAAUUGCAUCACUCAAAGAUGAUCCCGCGUUGUAUUAGCUAGUUGGUGAGGUAAAGGCUCACCAAGGCGAUGAUACAUAGCCGACCUGAGAGGGUGAUCGGCCACAUUGGGACUGAGACACGGCCCAAACUCCUACGGGAGGCAGCAGUAGGGAAUCUUCGGCAAUGGACGAAAGUCUGACCGAGCAACGCCGCGUGAGUGAAGAAGGUUUUCGGAUCGUAAAACUCUGUUGGUAGAGAAGAACGUUGGUGAGAGUGGAAAGCUCAUCAAGUGACGGUAACUACCCAGAAAGGGACGGCUAACUACGUGCCAGCAGCCGCGGUAAUACGUAGGUCCCGAGCGUUGUCCGGAUUUAUUGGGCGUAAAGCGAGCGCAGGUGGUUUAUUAAGUCUGGUGUAAAAGGCAGUGGCUCAACCAUUGUAUGCAUUGGAAACUGGUAGACUUGAGUGCAGGAGAGGAGAGUGGAAUUCCAUGUGUAGCGGUGAAAUGCGUAGAUAUAUGGAGGAACACCGGUGGCGAAAGCGGCUCUCUGGCCUGUAACUGACACUGAGGCUCGAAAGCGUGGGGAGCAAACAGGAUUAGAUACCCUGGUAGUCCACGCCGUAAACGAUGAGUGCUAGAUGUAGGGAGCUAUAAGUUCUCUGUA